rnacentral:misc_RNA from 1 species
AAGACUAUAGACCUGCGGAGUACCUGCGGAAGGAUCAUUAUUGAAAAGCUUUGGAGUUACUGUUGCUGGCCAUUGGUUCGUGCACGUAUCUCUAAUACUAUUCAUCCACCUGUGCACUCCUUGUAGAAGUCCCUGACGAUCGACCCAUUAAUGAGGUUUACCUUGUUAGUCGAUUUGAAAGGCUUCUAUGUCUUUACAAACCAUUAUGUAUGUUUUAGAAUGUUCUUUUAUUGGGGCUUC